AAAAUAUAGGUGGAUUAAUAAUCGAACAAAACAAAAUUUGAGUCUGGUAUUUCAUAAAUUUGAAGGGUGUUCAGAUGAAGAAAGAUAGAUGACAAAAAACAAAACAAAACCAAGCACAACAAUAUGCAGUCUAACAGAGAAGUAGAAAGUGCAAAUAAAAUCCUAGUAUCCUCCUUUGAGAUCAUUAACGACAUCAUACGGAAUUGGAGUAACAGUCUCCAAUGUAGCACCUUCGACCAUGAAACCAGGUUUGGGGCCCUCUGGCUUGCGCUUGGUGCUUAUCACCUCUCCCUUGGCCUUAGCCUCAGCCUUCAAUUGAUCAUUCUUGAUCUUCCUCAAUCUGAACUCCUCAGUGCACCUUGAUGGCAUAACAUGCUCCACUCGGACAUGGAUCCUCUUCCUCAAUAUCUUGUUCCUAACCUGAAACACAAAUAGCAACAUUUUAAAAUUGAGUAAACAAUAUCUUUACAAGCAACGGAGCACUUGCAGAGAACAUAAAAAAUUGAGGUAAUUAUGAAACAAUCAUACAUUCUAUCCAAGAGAUUCUCUGGAAAUUAAAAAUGUUCGUCUCAAUCUCAUUUAACUUACAACCUAAAAACUUACAAGAAUCUUGUGUUAAAUAUGGUUUGAGUCCAUAUAAAACAUCAUGUCCAAUUUAGUCUCUUCAAAAACCUCAUCUAAGGUUUGUCAAUGAAUUGGUGAUUAUGAUGAAAACUUUAAAUAAUAUUUGUUCCAAGUGAGAAAUUGGAGCCUUGACAUAAACGAAAUUAUUUGUAGGGACUAAACUUAAAGUCUCUUAAAUAAGUUGGGGAAAACAAAAACUUAGGGCAUGUUUGGAUAGACAGCCUAUAGCACUGGUGCUUAUUAUGAUAAGAGCUUUUUUUUUUUUUGCUCCAAAUGAUAAAAUAAAAUUGAAUUGUUUCUGUAUAUGCUAUAAGCAGUAAGCUAUCUUAGAGAACUUGUAAAAAUAAGAUCAAAAGGCUUCUGAAGAAUGUUAUAAAAAGGUUUCAAAAACAAACAUAACUCGAUCAGCAAUUCAUUUGUAACAACAAAAACAAAACUCAGAAGCUAAUCCAUCCAAACAAAACUCAAACAACAAAAUGAAUCAAGGAACAAAGCAAUGACCUAAUAUAAAACAAAACACAAUCAACAAUUCAUUUGUAACAUGAACUUAAACUGGAUCCUGAAUAGAAAGCUCGAAAUGAAACAAAAAAAUAUCAAUUGAACAAAUCAUCACAACUACCACAUGACAUAUAUUUGCAGAUAUAACAGUAAAAUCAAUCAUUAACCAGUACGAAUCAGUGAAAAAACAAAAAUGAUAACGAAGUGAUGACUAUAAGAAGCUUUGACAUACUUGCUUAUUGACUUCAACACCAAUGGCACGCUUAGUCACAUUCCAGACACGACCGGUACGACCGUGGUAGAAUUUGUGCGGCAUACCUUUGUGCACAGCUCCGUUAACUCUAAUAUCGACAUAGUCGCCGAUAUGAUAGGUCCUGAGGUAGGUGGCUAAGGCUAUUGUUCCCUUCUUGCGGAAGGGACGAGAGAAUGAAUCUCUGGUGCGGGAUCGUAAACCAUGACCUGCAGGCAUGUUUCCUUCUUCUAGGGUUUCUGGUGUUGCUGCU
rnacentral:lncRNA from 1 species